CCUAGACAGGUGUGUCUGUGUGCCAGAGGACUGGGCCAGGCACAGACUGAACUGACUCCCCGCCUCCCCCUCAUCGUAGUCAGAGACUCUUCAUGCUCAGUGGCUUCUUCCCUAUGGAUGGGUCUAAGGAGCUGCCCAGUUCUGUCGAUCAAACCGUCUCCAGUAGCUACUCAAGACAAGUUCCUCCUCGGGAAACUCCUCAGCCCCCAACAAACACCUGAGAGGCCUGUCCUGCUUGUCCACUGUGGACAACAGAAGAUGAGUUCAAGGGGAAACUCCAGCACAUGCUCUCACAAAUAAGCUAUUUGUGAAGCUUAUUGAUAAGAUUCUGUCCUUCAAAAACUGGCAAGUGCCUGACCAACAUUUCCUUAAGGUAUAAAUGUGUGGUCAUAAAGGAUGAUUUAAAGAAAGUUGGGUAAUCUCUGAAAGAUAACUGGUUGCAAUCGCCCUGUAUUCCACUGGAGUCUUUUGCAGAUAAUGCUCUGGUUCCAUCCAUAUUUUUGAUGAGUCUAGGAAGGGGGAAAAAAAAAGAAUCAAGACCCAUUUUUAGUGAAGAGGGAGCAACUGGACCAUGGUUUUGAAGACAUGGUUCUCAAUUACUCAGUACUGCCAUCAACACGAUAAGAUAAAGGCUAAAGGGAAAACUUGUAAGAGGGAGGACACUUGCUAAUAAUGGGUGUUCCACUUACCAAGGACAGCAGAGGAGUUGGCUUUUUGUUGGUAGCUUUUGAGAUCUGAGAAUUCAUUGGGCCCAUUUCAUCUUGUAGAGAAACCACUCUUGGCCUGUGUCAUGAAAGACGAACAGGAAGCCAUUUUGUUUCAUUGAACUUCUUGGAUCUUCCACUCUUUAAUUCUGCUUGUACUUUCAGAGGAGCAUCUAUACCCUGAGUGAAUUUAAAAAGGAUUCCAAGCAGUACCAAAGGAAAAUAGAUCCUGAGCACCUGAUGCCACUCUCUACUCAGAGGCUAGGAAAAUGCAAAUGUGGAUCCUCAGGAGGCCAGGCAUGUAAUUCAUUUGGUUCAUCAGUCACUCAGUCACCAGCCAUUAUUAAACACCUCCAUAUACAUGCUUGGCCCUUUGCCAAGCACUAAGAAUUCAGCUAUGAGUAAACUCAGUUCCUAUAUUUUACCCAGGGGUUAAUGAAAAUUAGGACGGGGUAAACUAUAAGUUGUGCUAUUUUGGUAUGCCACAUCCCUGGGGUUAUUGGUGGCCAUUUUUCUCAUACUUUCUUCAUUUGCUCCUUGACACAGUUUCUGGUCAGGGUGCCAUGCUUCAUUCUGUUGGCAUAUGCAGACUCCAAUAAUUUGUGAAGCAAUAGAAAACCUGUUCUCUCCCAGGGUGUCACCAACCAUGUGGCUGCUUUUUGCUCUAAACUUCUGAGAAGGACUGCCAUGAUCCACACAGGUUCUAAGGACUGCCAUGAUCCACACAAGUUCUGGCAGCCUCUCCUUUUUAUGUCUCCUGGGCCAUCUCAGUGAGAGCUGCACCGCUUUUGUAAGAAGGCGUGGCUAGGGGAGAAAGAACAACCCUCAUCAUCAAUCUCGAGCCCCUACUCUGUGCCAAGACCCUGUACCAGAUGCUUUAUGCACAUUAUCCUUUAUUCUCCCCCAACUCUUAUGAGGUAGGCAUUAAUUCCUGUGUUAGUUAAUUUUUUAUUGCUGAGACCAAAAUAUCUGACAAAAACAACUUAGAGGAGGAAGUGAAUUUUGGCUCAAGGUUUUAGAGGUUCAGUCUAUGGUCAGCCAACUCCACUCCUCUGGGCCUGAGGUGGAAGAGUGUGAUGGAGAAAAGCCACCUCAGCUCAUGACAGCUAGGAAGCAGAGGCACAGAGACAGGAAGGGACCAGAAACAGAUAGCAUCCAAGGCCACGCGUGGCCCCCACUGACCUACUUCCUGUAGCCAUGCCCACUGCCUACACUUAGCAGCUAGUAGUCCAUUCCGAUUAUUAAUCCAUCAAAUGAAUUAAUCCACUUGAGGAGUUUACAGCCCUCCACCCAAUCUUUUCACCUCUAAACAUUCCCUAACACAUAAGCUCUUUGGGGCCAGUCCAGAUUCAAACCAUAACAGUAUCCUCAUUUUAUAAAUGGGAAAACAGAGAAUUUCAGAGUUUAUAAACCUUUGGAUCUCAUAACUAAUAAGUUGCUGAGACAAGACUCAAAACCAAGUCUACUUAAUUCAAAGGAAAUAAUUAGAAAAGCCCAAGUGAAGAGCAGCCAGGUAGGAACGCGAGCUGAAUUAAAGAUGUUGCGCAUUUGCCUCUUUCUGCAGAUAUGUGUGCAAUCCUCUUGGUUAUUUCACACACACCUGCAUGACACUCCCAGGAGGAGACCUAGAGGAGCCACUGAUUUAAGGGGUCAGAGAAGAGGGACAGUCCUCUGCGGUAGGCACCCUCAUUCCACAGUGUCGUGACAAGCUCGCCUUGACAUAUCCUUCCCCAAGAACGAGCCUGUUAUACACAUUCGCAUAUUAAUGGGCUUGGGGCAUCACCCAGAAGAUCAGUGUCGACUUUCACCGCUGUGUGGGCUGCCUUUGAAACUUCCCCCAAAGUGACCUCUAGCAAAGUCAUUAAAAUCAAUGUGGAGAUCCUGCCUUGGGUCCUUGUCACUCUGGUUCCAGGAAAAAGAGGAACAGCUGAAAUUUACUGAUCCAAAUCCUGGUCACCUGGGAAGGAAGAAGAAAAUACAGCUUGCUUUUGUUAUUUAACACCCUUGGCUAAUUAAAAAGGAAUUGCCGUUUGCACUUAAGGGGAAAUACGUUGAAGGGGAGAAGAUUAUUUUUUAGGUAAACUUUACGCUUAAAAUGCAAUCCUCUGCUUCCUCGACAUUUUCUUUGGAACAAAUAAGAUUUCACCUUGCCAGAUUCUCUGAGAACAGUCAGUCACACCAGGUAAGUGGAAGCCAUUGGCACAUGUUUUUGGUUCCUGUACAGAAGAGGAAACAUGAACAUGCUCUGCACGUCAGCAAAUGAGUCAGGGGCACCCAGGUAUUCAGCAGAAAUGAAGCCUCGCCCAAUAAACCUAUGACUGCUCAUGAGGAUCAGAGUUUAUUUUUUUGUUUUAAAACUGGCAGUGGGUUUAAUUCUUUAUAGCUUUAGUCCUGCCUUGGACAUUUUUUUUUUCU
rnacentral:lncRNA from 1 species